rnacentral:rRNA from 1 species
UUGGUUAAGUUAGAAAGGGCGCACGGUGGAUGCCUUGGCACUAGGAGCCGAAGAAGGACGGGACUAACACCGAUAUGCUUUGGGGAGCUGUACGUAAGCGUUGAUCCAGAGAUUUCCGAAUGGGGGAACCCACUAUCUUUAGUCGGAUAGUAUCCUUACGUGAAUACAUAGCGUGAGGAAGGCAGACCCAGGGAACUGAAACAUCUAAGUACCUGGAGGAAGAGAAAGAAAAAUCGAUUUCCUGAGUAGCGGCGAGCGAAACGGAAAGAGCCCAAACCAAGAAGCUUGCUUCUUGGGGUUGUAGGACACUCUAUACGGAGUUACAAAAGAAAGUUAUAAAUGAAGCGGUCUGGAAAGGCCCGCCAAAGACGGUAACAGCCCGGUAGUUGAAAUGGCUUUCCCUCCAGAGUGGAUCCUGAGUACGGCGGAACACGUGAAAUUCCGUCGGAAUCCGGGAGGACCAUCUCCCAAGGCUAAAUACUCCCUAGUGACCGAUAGUGAACCAGUACCGUGAGGGAAAGGUGAAAAGCACCCCGGAAGGGGAGUGAAACAGUUCCUGAAACCGUGUGCCUACAAGUAGUUAGAGCCCGUUAAUGGGUGAUAGCGUGCCUUUUGUAGAAUGAACCGGCGAGUUACGAUUUGUUGCAAGGUUAAGCGGAAAAAGCGGAGCCGUAGCGAAAGCGAGUCUGAAUAGGGCGCAUAAGUAACAGGUCGUAGACCCGAAACCAGGUGAUCUACCCAUGUCCAGGAUGAAGGUAAGGUAAUACUUACUGGAGGUCCGAACCCACGCACGUUGAAAAGUGCGGGGAUGAGGUGUGGGUAGCGGAGAAAUUCCAAUCGAACUUGGAGAUAGCUGGUUCUCUCCGAAAUAGCUUUAGGGCUAGCCUCGAGGUAAAGAGUCAUGGAGGUAGAGCACUGUUUGGACUAGGGGCCCUUCUCGGGUUACCGAAUUCAGAUAAACUCCGAAUGCCAUGUACUUAUACUCGGGAGUCAGACUGCGAGUGAUAAGAUCCGUAGUCGAAAGGGAAACAGCCCAGACCACCAGUUAAGGUCCCCAAAUAUAUGUUAAGUGGAAAAGGAUGUGGGGUUGCUUAGACAACCAGGAUGUUGGCUUAGAAGCAGCCACCAUUGAAAGAGUGCGUAAUAGCUCACUGGUCGAGUGACCCCGCGCCGAAAAUGUACCGGGGCUAAACAUAUUACCGAAACUGUGGAUGAACCUCUUUAGAGGUUCGUGGUAGGAGAGCGUUCUAAGGGCGGUGAAGUCAGACCGGAAGGACUGGUGGAGCGCUUAGAAGUGAGAAUGCCGGUAUGAGUAGCGAAAGAAGGGUGAGAAUCCCUUCCACCGAAUAUCUAAG